AUUGAACGCUGGCGGCAGGCUUAACACAUGCAAGUCGAACGAGUGGCGGACGGGUGAGUAAUGUCUGGGAACCUGCCUGAUGGCGGGGGAUAACUACUGGAAACGGUGGCUAAUACCGCAUACCAUCGGAUGUGCCCAUAUGGGAUUAGCUAGUUGGUGGGGUAACGGCUCACCAAGGCGACGAUCCCUAGCUGGUCUGAGAGGAUGACCAGCCACACUGGAACUGAGACACGGUCCAGACUCCUACGGGAGGCAGCAGUGGGGAAUAUUGCACAAUGGGCGAAAGCCUGAUACAGCCAUGCCGCGUGUAUGAAGAAGGCCUUCGGGUUGUAAAGUACUUUCAGCGGGGAGGCGUUACCCGCAGAAGAAGCACCGGCUAACUCCGUGCCAGCAGCCGCGGUAAUAC
rnacentral:rRNA from 1 species